CCAAUAGCGUAUAUUAAAGUUGUUGCAGUUAAAAAGCUCGUAGUUGAAUUUCGGGAUCAAGUCGUCGGUCGUGCCUCGGUACGCACUGGUGACAUUGGUUUCUCCCUUCUGAAGAACCUUGAUGUCAUUAAUUUGGUGUCUUGGGGAAUCAGGACUGUUACUUUGAAAAAAUUAGAGUGUUUAAAGCAGGCUCACGCUUGAAUACAUUAGCAUGGAAUAAUGAAAUAGGACGUUUGAUUCUAUUUUGUUGGUUUCUAGGAUCGACGUAAUGAUUAAUAGGGAUAGUUGGGGGCAUUAGUAUUCAAUUGUCAGAGGUGAAAUUCUUGGAUUUAUUGAAGACUAACUACUGCGAAAGCAUUUGCCAAGGAUGUUUUCAUUAAUCAAGAACGAAAGUUAGGGGAUCGAAGACGAUCAGAUACCGUCGUAGUCUUAACCAUAAACUAUGCCGACUAGGGAUCGGAUGAUGUUAAUUUUUUAAUGACUCAUUCGGCGCCUUACG
rnacentral:ncRNA from 2 species